rnacentral:tRNA from 1 species
GGAGUUGUAGCUCAGUGGUAGAGCACUUGUCUAGCAUGUGUGAGGCACUGGGUUCAAUUCUCAGCACCCACA